rnacentral:rRNA from 1 species
UACGUAGGGUGCGAGCGUUAAUCGGAAUUACUGGGCGUAAAGUGUGCGCAGGCGGCCGCGCAAGUCGAGUGUGAAAGCCCCGGGCUUAACUUGGGAAUUGCGCUCGAAACUACGUGGCUAGAGUGUGGCAGAGGGAGGUGGAAUUCCACGUGUAGCGGUGAGAUGCGUAGAGAUGUGGAGGAACACCGAUGGCGAAGGCAGCCUCCUGGGCCAACACUGACGCUCAUGCACGAAAGCGUGGGGAGCAAACAGG